rnacentral:misc_RNA from 1 species
GGAACAUCUAACGAGUCUGUGGUGGGUAUGAAGUUGAUGGAAACUGGAAGCCUUGUACUUCAUGAUAGCAAAAAUAAGACUGUUUGGCAAUCUUUUGAUCAUCCAACAGACACACUGCUUCCUGGGCAGAAAUUGGUGCCAGGCAAGAAGCUGGUGGCUAGUGUUUCAGAAACCAAUGUGUCUGAGGGAGAUUACUAUUUUUCUUUAACACC